rnacentral:rRNA from 1 species
AGUGAACGCUGGCGGCAGGCCUAACACAUGCAAGUCGAGCGGCAGCGCGUCCGACCACCCUCGGGUGGUCGGAUGGCGGCGAGCGGCGGACGGGUGAGGAAUGCAUCGGAAUCUGCCUCGUUGUGGGGGAUAACGUAGGGAAACUUACGCUAAUACCGCAUACGACCUACGGGUGAAAGUGGGGGACCUUCGGGCCUCACGCGAUGAGAUGAGCCGAUGCCGGAUUAGCUAGUUGGCGGGGUAAAGGCCCACCAAGGGCGACGAUCCGUAGCUGGUCUGAGAGGAUGAUCAGCCACACUGGAACUGAGACACGGUCCAGACUCCUACGGGAGGCAGCAGUGGGGAAUAUUGGACAAUGGGGGCAACCCUGAUCCAGCCAUGCCGCGUGUGUGAAGAAGGCCUGGUUGU